GUUACUAUUAACCCAUUCUCUCAUACCUGACAACUAAGCGUGCAUAUACAAAACAAACAAAGCAGGGAUAUCUGCCAUCAACAAACUGGUAAACACCGAGAUAAAACACUGUGCAAAAAUUCGUACUGCGGAAAAAGUGUUCAUCAAGGAACCUGUCAGGCAUGGAACAAAUUCGAAUUCGACAUCUGUAAACUCUCACACAGCCAAGGAUUCGUAAGAAAAGGCUCAGAAAAAACUCCAUUCAAGGUUGGCAGCAUUGCACCGCUUCAUUGCGUUUCCGGAAAGCAGCACAGACAGUGCAAGAAAAUUAAAGUGCGCCAUUGGUGUGACGAAGCCGCUCCCCGGAGAAUCAGCAAUUCUCGGACGAAUCUGAAGUGUCGCUCCGCAGAAAGCCGCAGCCAGGAAAACCGUUUCGAACCCAGAAUCGGGAAGCAAACGAAGGCGGACACGCUAAGCGAGGAGUUGGCAGUCGCCGCCAAUUGGUCGUCUCAAAACCCGCCAAUCGGGAUCCGCUAAUCCGCGGACGAAAGGCAGGAAUUCGAUUUCGUGCACGUCGGACAAAGAGUGGUUAGUUCCGAUCCACAUCAAAGCGUUCGCCAAUCAGCUUAUUUCGACAAGCGGUGGGCGAGAAAACGAACAAGAUCCAGGAAAGGGGUCAGAAGCACUGACCCCUUUUUUGUUCCGUCAUCCAUCGUUUCCGGCGCACAGCACAGCAGCGAGCAGGUGAUUCAGGAGAGAUCCUGUCUCAGGACGCGGGAUUCUCAUCGAGGCGGGGUUCCUUCUGUGAGCCUUCAGGUGAAUCCAGGCGGAGAAGCAACCAUCAACGAACAAAAGCUUGUUUCGGUCGGGACCGGAAGACUCAGCCUAAGCUACAUCCAACGCCCACGCGGUCUAAGGGGAAACCUCUCAGAAGAGGAGGAAUUUCGUUGCCGACGUGGCCGGUAAUUGGUUGACGGAUGACAGGAGCGAGCAAGCGUUCCCGAAAUCUAAAGGCGCGGAUCAAGUGUCAGCCAGGACGAGCUCCGUGUGGGUGCGGUGUGCCGAGUAGAAGCAGCGGGAUUGCAUCGACAGACAGUUGGCUGGCGAAUCAGCUCAGCAGCGUGGUGGGGGUCAGCGGAAUUCCCCGAUCCAUGCUCCGAGGGAUUGACACUGCAUCGGGCAGGAAAGGCAGGGGGAUCAGGACAGCUCCUAGCGAACCCAUUCGAUCUUCAGCAGUUGGUUUUCGGCUGUGAGUGAUCCCGCCAAGACAGCACGAGCAUGGGCCAAAGCGGAAGUGAGCAUCGCAAAGAAGUCCAAGCACGGCCGAGUGACGAGGAACAACAAUAUAUGUAAGUCGCUUUGCUUGUAUUAUCAUGGGAGGGAGAAAAAUGGGUUUUAUUCAAAAUUUUAGCAACCAUUGAAUAAAGUUGCACCUAAAACUGUUUGAGCUAGAGAAUUUCAUUUCUCAAGGGACCUUCAACAAUCGAGAAGAACGUAUACACGCUUAAACUUUUUUACCUCUUUUUGAGAUAGCAUAACCUGUUUUGAAAGGAUUAUCACUCAAAAUUGAGAAAAGCGUGCUAUCAAAAUGAUAUAAAUUAACACAAUCUAAUUCAUGUGAAAAAUAAAAACAUAUUUGUUGUAUCCGCAUUCAUAUUUCAAAACAACCGCAAAUCAGUCCACAUCAUUAUUCGCUCAAUUCGAAUAAAAGCCUACUGUGAAUAAAUGGUUUUUGUGAUUCGAUAAGAAUAACUGUAUUAGAAAAUUCAUUUACAAGUAUGCCUAUUAAACUACUUGUUUUAUUUAUCCAUCUCUGCCUCUCAAUGCAAAGUUGAUCUUUAUUUACGUCAUCCAAUCCAGAACUAACCAAAUUAUUUUCAGAUCAACCGUCCUUGAAUAUUUCUAGAAGACUGCAGAAACCGGCUUCAACUCAGCAAAGACGGAGAAAUUGAGUUUCAUCACAAGCGAAAAUGCUCAUUCUAAAUCAGCCUCAACAAGAUUCAGAUGAUAUAUUCAGAAUGAAGACCACUAGCAUUGGCCGAUCAUUGAAAAUAACGAUUUAUUUAAAGCGUAAUGCAGUUCUGGUAAUAGUAAGCAAAACAUCCGAAGGACGUUUUAAGGAUCGUUUUACCGCUUCCAAUUGUUUUCCCAUACAACUGUUUUAACUGUUUUUAACUGUUUUACAUAACCUAACUACACAUUCAAAAUUCAAUCAUUUCGGAAUUCACGAAUCAGGCAAUGUUUUUACAAUUUCAAUAAUCGUUUGCUAAACGUUUAAUUACGCUUCAAAAAUCAUUUGAUUAUAAUCCUCAUUUAUGCGGGUUAUUAUUUAGCUUUGAGGCCAGGUUUUUGAUGACAGAAAAUGUUCUAUUCCAAAACAGUUUGAGAUUAUUUGAUAGCAAUAUCUACUUUUUAUUUAAAGAUAAUUGACCAUUCAUAGUUAAAAGGAAACAAAACAAAAAGUUACAUGAAUGCCUUUUGCCAAGCAACAAAUCGAAAUGUUCUCAGUUAUUCCGAAAAACUUCUCUCUCUCAAAAAUGGAUAAAUCCAUCAUGAGCGUGUAUUCCAUUAUGAGAAACGUCAAACGAAGAUGUGAUUCAAGGUCUCUUAAAACCAUUUAAAAACUGUUUAUUGAAAUUGUUUUAUUACCACAUUUUUCUAACCGGCAUAAAACCAUUUUAACACUGUUUUACAACUGCCUUAAGAUUUUCAAUAUUAAUUUAAUGAACGUCAUGUUAAUUGUGAAAUUGAAUCGAAAUUACUGACGCCAUGUUGCUGGAAAUAAUACUUUAAUACUAAAAACUAGACAUUUUCAUCAAAUUUGACAAUGUUGGCGGUACUAUUUGUUGUCUAGGUGAUGAAUUUCAACGCAAAACAAAAGUUGCAUCUUUUGAGCCAAUUUAUUUUUUUCCUUUAAUUAUAAUUUUUUUGUUUAAAAAAUGCUUAAAAUAUGGUCAACCUUGAUUUUAUUUGAGGCGCGCUUAAAUUUUGAUGCUAUUUCGUAUAUACUUUACCAGAAAUCUGAGGUUGCAGGAAGUUUCUUGCUUAGAUAUAUUGAAAAUGAGAAUGAGAAUAUUUUUAAAAUAUUUUAAAUGGAAUCUUUAUCUAUCAUCAAAUGCUUGGGAGAGUAAGUGAUAAAACGAGAAAAAACACGGAACAGAAAGCUCCCACAGUAAAAUUUAUAUUAGAUUCCACAGCUGCCACAGUAAAAUUCCUAUCAGAUUUCACAGCUCCCACAGUAAAAUUCCUAUCAGAUUCCACGACGUAGUUUUAAAAGAGCUGUGGAUAGUCUGAAGAGGGCUCUGAAAGGUUUCUUAAAGCUAUGUCUAUAAGGUCGAAUAAAACUAUUCUGUUGGAAGUUUUAUUAUAGCGUAUAGAAUUAGCUUUAAAAACGUUAACAAAAUGGGCCCUUUUGGCCAUAUGUUAGCUUUAAACACGCAGAAA